rnacentral:rRNA from 1 species
CCCUUAGACGUUCUGGGCCGCACGCGCGCUACACUGACGAAGGCAACGAGCUUUCCUUUACCGAAAGGUACGGGUAAUCUUUUGAAACUUCGUCGUGCUGGGGAUAGAUCCUUGCAAUUUUUGAUCUUAAACGAGGAAUUCCUGGUAAGCGCAAGUCAUCAACUUGCGUUGAUUACGUCCCUGCCCUUUGUACACACCGCCCGUCGCUACUACCGAUUGAAUGGUUUAGUGAGGCCUUCGGAUCCGCGACUCGUUUUGUGGAGAAGUUGGACAAACUCAGUCAUUUAGAGGAAGUAAAAGUCGUAACA